UGGGGGGUGGGAGAUAGAAUGGUGUGCAUGGACAAAUAAAUGUAGUAGUAGUGCAAAGCUGUGUACUCAGACACUGCCUGUCAGGCCAAGUGACUUGUCAAAUCAAAGCCUUCUUGAGCAUGCAGCUCUCCCUCUUCCUUUCUCAAAGGGAAGAGUUCCUUCUCAAAGAGCUCUUUCCCCAGUCCCUGCAUUUCCAGGAUCACAAAGCAGAAGAACGGAGGAAAUCUCCGCCUGAAAAAAUCUACAAGAUGAACAACAGCUAAUUUUGGCACCUCCAAUGAGAGAGCUUACCAUUUCCCUCAAGCCAUUGUCUCAAUUAGGGGGGCUUAGCAAAGGUUUAAAGCACAUUUGAGCUCCCUUCUUCAGGAGGAGCCAAGCACAGGAAGCCAAGCUUCACUAAGUAACCCAGUAGAAUCCUGUAUUCAGCAGCCAAGAAGCUCACAGAAGCUCACAGAAGCACAGCCAAGAAGAUCACAGACAUAUAUGUUCAUACUUUGAAAAUCUGCAGUUAAUGGGGAGUUCACAAGGGUUCAAUUUGAAAGAAUAGCUUACAUUUUUCUUUCCUAGUCUGAUAGCUGAUCAAACACUUGCUUGGGGUUGUUGCUCCCAGCAGUGGCAAAUUUACACAGAUCUGGAAGGAAGGUGAGCAGCUUUCUGACUAUGAUAGUCCUGAGUCAAAGCUCAGAAGCACAAAUACAUAGUACUUCAUUAGCAACAGUGGGCUUUGGAUCAGACUGACUGUCUACAUAUUCAAUUAUACAGUCUUAUUAAGAGAAAAAUUUCUUCCUGGCCUCCUGAGUAGGUAAAAUUUAAGCCCUGCAGCAUGAAAUUUUAGUCUCCCAUUUUACUGUAGUUUGUAUAGCUUGCCAGAGCUUGCAUUAUGUUUAACGUUACUACUUCCCAGGCAUUCCAAUCCAGUUCUUCAAAACCCUACUUAAACAGCAGAGUCCCUGCACCAGUGGUUUCCAGGUUAUACAGAGCAAAAAAGUAAUCUUUAUUUCAGGUAUAGUCUAAGAUGAAUUCACCAAGUUCCCUUUUUGUUCUCAUUCUGGGACUAGAAAAAAGAAGAAAGUUUAUAAUAUCUCCACUGUUGUACAGAAUUCAAAAUUGAAAAAAAGAAUACUUAACACUAAUUCACUUUCCUGAUCAUUCAUGGCUGAAAUCCAAACAGUUACUGGUUGAUCAAGUAAAUCAUAUGGCAGUGUUUACUCCCUAAAUGACAUUGGUGCAUGUGUGAAUGUACAGGAUGAUUAAGUGACGUCAUUGCAAGUCACUUGGUUGAAAACACUAAACAAAAAAAGUAUGUGGAGGGGUAUAUUGUCCUCUAAGUUUUUUAUCUUAAAAUAAUCAGUUUGUGUUUUUUUUUUUUUCUCCCGUUCCCAUUUGUCCAUAGUCAGUUCAAAUUCUUUCUUAAAAUUCAGUUUCAUUCCAGAACUUGUACGGAUGACCUACAUCUUCUUCUGAUCAAUUCCAUUAACAAGACGCUAUGCAUAAUAGGAUUCCCAUUUUUCCUCCUUUUUUAAGCCUCUUUGCGAAUGUUUCAGUAGCAUUAUGAAAAAUAGUUACAUGAGAGGGAAGUUUAUUCUUUAGCUAGCAUGUGACUGGCUUUCUCAGUUUUGUCCAUUGGACAGCGGAAAAGACAGACUGGUGGUGUGAGAAUAAAGAUUUUAAGGAAGAGAUAAACCAUAACGACAGAUUUGUAUAUCUCUGCCUCCUUUACAUGCACCUACUGACUACUGCAAUGUCUACUCUUUUUGAGUGGAAAGAAGUGUGUGGUGCUCAUAAGGACAAGAUGGACACAGCCUCGGGGAUUUGCCUGAAGAUCACAGAAGACCUAAGGCAGAUCUUGGAAAGAAGACAUCCCAGAGGGAUAUUUCCUGUAGUAACCACCCGCUCACCCAUCCUUUCUGCCAGCUGCAUGACUGUACAGCAAAGAAAACAGGAACAACGUGGAGGAGGAAGAUGGGAGCAGGCAGGAAAAACUUUUUCCUGCUUCAGCUCAUCUUUAUUUUUUAUUGAUAACUAACUGUUCUGGAAAAAUAAUUUUGGAGCAUGCAAAGCUACACAAACCACAGAGGUAACAUGUCCCCAUUCAGGACUGAUGCACUGAUGACAGUUCUUUGGCAAAACAGAGGACCCCACAGAAACCUGCACUGGCAGUUCACAUUUUGUGUUACUACUGUGUCUCAAUUUUCUGCGGUUUACAAGUCCUUCUAAUAACUCUCAGCAGAGUAUCACUAUACUGUGAUACAUUACAAUAUGAAGAUCACAUGUAUAAUUCCAAGAAUUAAAAAGUUCAAUCCACAAGCACUUUGUACUAUUUCCCAAAAAUAUGUGAAUACCAAACAUAUUGCUUCUAUGAAUCUGUGCUGUUAAUGGGUAUCUCUUCAAAGAGAGCAAGAGAGUACUGCCCACGUCCUUCUGGCCUCUCUCACUGUGGGUUUUGAUGUGUUUACAUUACUCCAUGCUCACAUAGAAAAGUAUUUUCCAAGACAGCAUGGUUUGCUGUCAGAUAAAGCAUGGUAGCAUAACCAAAACAAAAGAAAAAGGAGAAUAAAUCUAAAGUAGCAUUAGCGCAAAUCACUGAGUGGUGUACACUGUCAGUGAUCGCAUUCUGGUUGAUAUGACUAUGGCCAUACAAAUAUUCUUUUUUCUUAGAGAUACGAGUGAGCUUUGGUGUUCACAUGUAGCUCACAGAAAUGACUCAGAAAAAUGAAGGAAAGAAUGGUAAUCCAAACAGAAAUAAGAGGAGGGAAUUGCAAAUCAUUCCAAGGACAGCGUAUAAAUCAAAUUAAUUUAGGACAUUUGAAUUUUUCUGCAAUUAUAUACCCUGAGUAUACUUAUAAAACUCAGAGUGAAAAAAUGUUGGGCCUGAUUUUUGUCAAAAUAAGAUCAUAUCGAGACAUUUUACUGGGGUAAAAGAUUCUUAAACUGAAAAUGAUUUAUGAUUAUGUCCACCUUCUACAGCUAGAAAGGACCUAUACACUGACAAUUAAAGGUUGCAUUUUUGAGGCAGUCUUCGCCAGCUUUGGAUAACUUUGCAGAGAACUCAGUGUGAUUUGCCCUGAGGGAUCUGAAAAGCCUGUCAGGAACAAAUUUGUAGUAAGCUCACAUGUGUAUUGGCAGGCUUGUUGUCAAUAAAAUUAUAAAUGUCAGUUGCUGUUCCAGAACAGGUGGCACUAUAAAAAAAUUGGCUAUGGGAAAUGCAUGCAGCUUACAAGGAAAAUAUCCACUUUUGCAGAUUGGGAAUAAGAAACUUUGCACAGCUGAUUUGUGAACUAGUGGUAUUUUUUAAUGUGUUUUCCUUAAAGCUGCUUUGAGAUGUUCAUGCCUACAGUUUUCCCCAUUACUGUUUGGUUUUGUUUCUUUUAUUCCAUAGUUAAAUGUAUCAAAGCCUAGAAAGUGAGAUCUGAACCAUUUAAGAGUCUCUCCAUGUGCCAUCUUAGAUGCUUGGAUCAGCAAUGGGAACAGUUUUGUAUUGCUGUUACUCCAUUAAUCACAAAGCAGUUGCUCAGAGUUACUCUUGCUUCGGCCUGAAGCAAACAAGGACAGGAUGGGUCUGUGGUCAUACAGUACCUGUGACAAAUGAUUUACUGGUUGGUUUACAUCACAGAUCUCCUCAGGGCUUGUUCUUCCUGUGUUUUAUUUUUCUAAAGCAGAAAUAGACUGAUUACUGAGCUUUAUUCAGCCUCCUCUCCAUCAACAAUGGCUUUUAUUUGGACUGGAGAUAGUGAAAAACAAACUGAAGCCUUGUACUCAAGGUUAUGGAAAGCCUCUCUUCCAGGAUGUCUUCAGAUCUCACCCCACUGGGUAUUUUUAGUGACACUUUGCAAAUAUGGCACUCAUGAAGGUCAAAUAAAUGGUGCAUAUCCAAUGUGCUGCAGCUGAAGUCACCGCAGCCCUUCUAUUGUGUGCUGUAUUGCAAAAUGUACACCAGAGGACUUACAGAUGAAUGAAAUAGAAAUAAACAUAUGGAUACAAUAAAUGAAAAAAUGAUUAACACAUUUUUACCAUUUUGCAUUGCUGUGGAGUAUUUGAAUGAAUUCUGCCUCACUUGACCUUCUCAGAGCAAGGCACAAUUGCCCAGUCAAAAUCAUGCUGCCUUUAUAUCACUGAAAAAUAUUCUUAAUUUGAAAAGUUUACAAGACUCCUUGGAGUACUCAGAUCUGAAAAACUGGCCACAGUCUUCCCUGGCAAAACAGGCAUGUUAUACUAUACCUUCCCAACCUUGAAUCACUCCCUUGGCAUCUGGGGGCCAUCUCUGUGCUGGAGGCACAAAUAAGUACUCAUUCUGACACUGCUGACUGAUUUGUUUGUUUGUUUGCUUUUAAGUAUCCUGACAGUUCAUAGCAUUUCCUUUAUGAAACAGAGAUGCCUUUCAGAGACUGUGCCUGACCAGGAAUCAAGGGAGGUUAAUAAAUAUAUUAGUUUCCCUGUACCACCCCUACAUUCCUGUAAGCAUAUUGCUUCAGGACUGGAGGAUAUUACCCUGCACACCUACACAGUGCAACACAAAUCCACUUGUGAUAUAGUUAGUUACAUUUAUAGGAUGAGCAGGAGAACCGCUAGAUAUUUGGAUCUUCAAAUUGUUUACUGCCCUCUCUUCUAGCGAUAAAUAAAUAAAUCAGUUGGUAAUUCAGACUUACAGAAAGCUGUUUGAAGUUGUAAAAGAAAGCUACUCCUUGUGCUUAGCCUGUUUCAGUUAUGCAUGGCUGGCAAGGACUCUUGCUAAUUGAAGCAUUCAUUUAGGUCAUUUGGCACCCUUCCUUCCCUUCCUGCCUCCACAUCCUCUGAGCGUGAAACGACAUCUGGGGUGUGGGUUCCGUGUCACUGGUGCCAGUGCACUCCAACCUGCAAGCAAAAUUUAACCUUUAUUAGGUGCCCCAUUAGAGGUUAGUAACAAUAAAAAAUAGUCCCUGCAGGAGCACUGGGGAAGCAUGCGUAUAAUAGACCGCAAAACACCCACAGUGGGCAAAGCUCAGGAAAUUCCUGACCUUAAAAAUGUCCUGUUCAGUUUCAUGUAAAGAGAGAAAAAAAUUAAUUCUCUCCCAGGCAUAAAAAUCAAGACUAUUAAAUUUAAGAGUAGGUUGAGUUCUUUCCUUGCAUUCAAUUGCUUUUGUUGAGUAGCGAUAUAUUCUGGUUCCUAGGAGCACUCCACUGUUUACUCCGGUUACUAAAGGAAUAAAUUGUUCUAAGGAUGCAGAUGUCCAAGUAGUUAACGUUACAGCCUACAGCUAUUGCCAAGGAAAUAGGAAAACCUGAGUUUCUCUCCUGCAGAACUACUUUGUUAAGCUAUAUUUCUUACUUAUGUCAUCCUUAGUUUUCUCCUUUUACACAACAUCUUUAUGUGAUGUUGAUGGAUGCUGAAGGCUGUAUGCAGAUGUCACGGUUGCUGACAAUGUGUUUGUAUGGCAUAACAGAAGUUUGUAUGGCAAGCAGAAGUUCCUGGCUAAGGGCUUCAGAAGUAACUGCAUCUGUAGGGGGGGCUUCCACUUCUGUUUUCCCAGCUUCAGCACCUUACGGACAACUAGAUUCUAAGUCCAGAUGUAAUUUCUGAGGGUGAAACAUGUCCAGCUGGGCACUCAAAUCAGUAUUUCAGUUGAAAACCACUGAUACCACUGGCAUCUAGACAGAGCCUAGUGGAGGGCCACAAAGAUGAUCAGGGGCCUGGAGCACCUCCUGUAUGAGAAAAGGCUGAGAGACCUGGGGAUUUUCAUCCUGGAGAAGGGUGAAAAGCAAGGCACCGCAUAACUGUUUAUAAAUAUCAAAAGGGCGGGAGUCAAGUUGAUGGGGGUGGACUCAUUUCAGUGGCAAGCAACAAUAGAACAAGGAGCAAUGGACAGAAACUGGAGCACAGGAAGUUCCAUACUAACACCAGGAAGAGCUUCUUUACUGUGACAAUGGCGGUGCACUGGAACAGGAUGCCCAGACAGGGUGUGGAGUCUCCUGCUCUCGAGACAUUCAAGACCAGUCUGGAUGCCUACCUGUGCGACCUGCUGCAGGGAACUGCUUUAGCAGUGGAUUGGACCAGAUGAUCUCCAGAGGUCCCUUCCAAUGCCUACAAUUUUGCAAUUCUGCGAUUCUGUGAUAGUCAAACAAAAAUAUCUGUAAAACUAUACCACAUGAAGAAGUCCCCUGUAUUCCAGUGUUUUCUUUAAUUUUUUUUUUGAUAUUAUACUUCUUUAUUGAUAUACAUUUUAAAGAUGCUAAUAUUUCUGUUCCAUGUAUAUUUUUCAAGUGUAUGAAUACACACUUGUUUAAAUAUGCAAUAUAUUGAAAACAUCAGUAGAUAAUUAAAUGCGUUUCUGAUGACUUUUUUGGUUUUUUGUUUUUUUCUUUUUAAUUGAUUUGUUAGCAGCAGCCUUUGUAUUUUAAAUUGUGUACAAGAAAUACCUGACAAGGUGUUUUAGCUGAUGCUUCAUACAUCACUUAUUUCACACUGACAUUUGUUAGUUAGAUUUCACUGUGCACCAGGAAAGAUUCAUUUCCUCUCGUGGUCACUGCAAAUAAUACAGUGUCAAGCAGAAAAGCAGCCACAGGUAGACUGAAAAAGAAGAAGAAUUCUGUCUAUUGUGUCAAGUACUGAAAAAGCAGGAAAUUUGAAGUUGAGUCUAAAUCUAAAAUAUAAACAAUCAGAAAGUUAAUAUAUGUUUUGAUCCCUGUUGAAAUGUAUACAGUUAGAACUGAGGUACAAAAGGAGAUUGACUCUUCUUAUUUUUAUAGCAACUAUGAUAAAUGAUCAGGAUAUAACACUGUCAGUGUAAAAGAAAAAUGGGACCUAUGUUACAAAAAUCCAACAUUAAAAACCCUG
rnacentral:lncRNA from 1 species